UACGUAGGGUGCGAGCGUUGUCCGGAAUUAUUGGGCGUAAAGAGCUCGUAGGCGGCUUGUUGCGUCGACUGUGAAAACCCGCGGCUUAACCGCGGGCUUGCAGUUGAUACGGGCAGGCUAGAGUUCGGUAGGGGAGACUGGAAUUCCUGGUGUAGCGGUGAAAUGCGCAGAUAUCAGGAGGAACACCGGUGGCGAAGGCGGGUCUCUGGGCCACUACUGACGCUGAGAAGCGAAAGCAUGGGGAGCGAACAGG
rnacentral:rRNA from 1 species